UACCCUUGACAUGUCCGGAACUUGCCAGAGAUGGCUUGGUGCCGAAAGGGAAUCGGAACACAGGUGCUGCAUGGCUGUCGUCAGCUCGUGUCGUGAGAUGUUGGGUUAAGUCCCGCAACGAGCGCAAUCCUUAUCUUUAGUUGCCAUCAUUGAUUGGGCACUCUAAAGAGACUGCCGGUGUCAAACCGGGAGGAAGGUGGGGAUGACGUCAAGUCCUCAUGGCCUUUAUGACCAGGGCUACACACGUACUACAAUGGCCGGUACAAAGGGCAGCGACACAGCGAUGUGAAGCGAAUCCCGAAAAGCCGGUCUCAGUCCGGAUUGGAGUCUGCAACUCGACUCCAUGAAGUUGGAAUCGCUAGUAAUCGCGGAUCAGCACGCCGCGGUGAAUACGUUCCCGGGCCUU
rnacentral:rRNA from 1 species